rnacentral:rRNA from 1 species
AGUAACACAUCGGAACGUAUCCUGUUGUGGGGGAUAACUAGUCGAAAGAUUAGCUAAUACCGCAUGACCUCGGGAGAGAAAAGCAGGGGACCGGAAACGGCCUUGCGCGAUUGGAGCGGCCGAUGUCCGAUUAGCUAGUUGGUGGGGUAAAGGCCUACCAAGGCGACGAUCGGUAGCUGGUCUGAGAGGAUGAUCAGCCACACUGGGACUGAGACACGGCCCAG